rnacentral:rRNA from 1 species
GAUGAACGCUGGCGGCGUGCCUAAUACAUGCAAGUCGAACGAACUCUGGUAUUGAUUGGUGCUUGCAUCAUGACUUACAUUUGAGAGAGUGGCGAACUGGUGAGUAACACGUGGGAAACCUGCCCAGAAGCGGGGGAUAACACCUGGAAACAGAUGCUAAUACCGCAUAACAACUUGGACCGCAUGGUCCGAGCUUGAAAGAUGGCUUCGGCUCUCACUUUUGGAUGGUCCAGCGGCGUAUUAGCUAGAUGGUGGGGUAACGGCUCACCAUGGCAAUGAUACGUAGCCGACCUGAGAGGGUAAUCGGCCACAUUGGGACUGAGACACGGCCCAAACUCCUACGGGAGGCAGCAGUAGGGAAUCUUCCACAAUGGACGAAAGUUUGAUGGAGCAACGCCGCGUGAGUGAAGAAGGGUUUCGGCUCGUAAAACUCUGUUGUUAAAGAAGAACAUAUCUGAGAGUAACUGUUCAGGUAUUGACGGUAUUUAACCAGAAAGCCACGGCUAACUACGUGCCAGCAGCCGCGGUAA